rnacentral:ncRNA from 1 species
UUGUGUCGGAGUUCUUAAUAGUUUAUAUAUUUUUAUGGAUUAUUUAAUAUUAUAUAUAUAAUAUAUAAUAUGUUAUUAUUAAACGAUGUUGAUUAUAAUUAGAUUAAGAUAUUCAGUAUAUUUAUUUAUACAAUAAAUGAGAGUUUUAUAUAGAAAUUAUAAAUUAUAAUUGGAUUAAUUUGUGCCAGCAUCUGCGGUUAUACAAAUAAUUUAAAUUAAAAAAUUUUGGUUGAAAGUAAAGUAAUAUAAUUGAAAUAAUAUUUAGGAAAUUAUAUGAUUAGUUUUUAAGUAAAAUUUUUAUAUUGAUUGGUUUUUUGUUUAUUUUCUUUAUUAUUAAUACUUUGAAAAUUUAAUAAUAAACUAGGAUUAGAUACCCUAUUAUUUUUGUUUGUAAAAAUUGAUUGUUUUACCUAAGUAUUAUGAAUGUAAUUAAAAUAUGGUUUGUUUAGAAUUUAUAUAUGAUUAAUUUAUGUUUAAAACUUAAAAGGUUUGGCGGUUUUACAUAUCCAGUUAGGGGAGUUUGUUAAUUUGUUUGAUAAUCCUCAUUUUAAACUUACUUUUUUUUGAUAUAUAUAUAAUACAGUUUAUAUAUUGCUGUCGUCAGUUUAUUUUUUGAGAAUUAAAAACUGUUAAAUUUUUAGGUUGUUAUGUCAAGUCAUAAUGUAGCUAAUGAAGAAGGUUUAAUGAACUACUAUAAAUAAUGGUUUUUAUUCGGAUAAUAAAAAUUAUAUUUUGUUAGGAAGAUGGACUUAAUAGUAAAAUUACAAUUAGUGUGUGGAAUUGAAUAAGGUUUUGUAAGGUGUACAUAUCGCCCGUCACUCUUGUUGGUAAAUAAGAUAAGUCGUAACAUAGUAGGGGUAAUGGAAAUUGUUUCUGGUAUAAU